GCCGGGUUCGCCUAGAGGUAUGGCGGUGGAUUGCUAAUCCACUUGGUCGAAAGACCUUCACGAGUUCGAUUCUCGUACCCGGCG
rnacentral:tRNA from 1 species